GCCAAGGGCUGAAGAAAUCCAAUACCUUGGCCUGCUGGGAAGCUCGCAGCCAAAAAUGUCCUAAGAACUCCCGGAGGGCCAAGGGCCCUACACUCAAGAAACCUGCAAUUACUGGUCUUGUCUGUCUACAGCCGCCACAGAAAAACACAGUCAGCAGAGAUCAGCACUCCCAGAACCUUUUGUCUAUCUAUGAUUUCUAGCUGGGCAAAGGAAAAGAAGUCCAGCUGUUUAGUAGCAAGAGGCUGCUAUCAUUGUAUCCUUUACUGUAUUAAUUAGAAAUGAUGGCACAGAGAUGUAGCCUCUUGUAAAGUCCCGCAGCACACAGGGGGUUGAAUUAGAACUAUAAGCAGGAAGCUGGUCUCCCUGGCCAGAGCUCUGAUUCUUUCCUUCUUAAACUCCUGGUCAAAUGGAGUGACCACAGACGCCAGUGCUGUGCACUGUGGGUGACCCUGAGCAAGUACUUAGCACAGCACAUGAACUAUUAUUACAUUUGACAUUGAAUAAGGACUUAUAUGUUAUUCGGGUUUCGUUUUGCGUUAAGACCAGAGAUGUUUUAUGUCGAUGAAAUAAUACAACUACCCAAACCACCCAACGAAACCGGGUAGACUCUGGAGGAAUACAAAUCUAUAGUAACUCAUGCCGGUGAGCUCACCGCACAAGAGUUAACAGCGAGGCACGCUCUAAAGGAUCCUCGCGUCCGAGUUGCAGGUCCCCAGGCCACAGGGAAGUACCCUUUUCAGUCCGGACUCCCUCUGGGACGGUUCUGCCUGAAGCCUGCCCUUCGGAUGGGGACCUGGCCUCCUUUUCAGGAGAGCGCGGCCCUUGCCAUUUGAAGACGUUUAGUUUUUCAAAGUUGUUUUGCAGUCGCCUAGAUGACCGAUUACUGGCUUAAAAGUUGCUAAAAUAAUCCAGCCCGGUUCGUGACCCUGUAAACCCUGCCGGAGAGGGGCCCGCCUGCCUCCCCCAGUCCAGCGGUGAGCAAAGGUGGCCCAAGCCUCCCCGCCCCGCCGCCCGUGGUGCUCGACCCUGAUACCCGCCGCACGCCCGCCGCCCACCUGCCAGGGAAAGGAGGGCAGCGCGCGAGCCGCCAGGAAGCGGCGCUCGAAACUCUGCAGCAGAGACGUGGCCCCCUCGUGGUCCUCAGGCGCCAUCGCGGGGCCGGGCCAGGGUUGCCUGGAAACGGGGCGGAAGCGAGGCCUGAGACGGAGGAGGCGUGGCAACUAGGAGGUGCCCUAGCUAUGCUGGACAAAAGGAUUCUCAGUCGAUGGAGCAGCCCCUGAAGAUGCGGCUUCAGCCAGGACUGUUUGCACCACACACACAGAAGCCAAGUGCACUCCAGAUGACCGAAAGGCCAGUUCUUCCUGAGCCAGAGAGUCAACUCCUCGCUCCCCAGCUCGGGGCAGUGACAAUGGUUACAGUCAGAGGCUGAGGAACUCUGACACCUGGCUUCUCAGAUGCUGCCAGAGGCUGUGGAAUUUUGACUUCUCAGACACAAGACCUUCUACUCCAGGUCAAGAGCCACAGGUCCUGAAACUGCAGGUCUGCAUAGCAGCUGGAAGACCUGUAGAGUGAAGAGUCCUGGGCUUGGGAGAUGGCUCCGUGGGUAAAGCUCUUACCAUGGAAACAUGAGGACCCCAGGAAUGCUGGGCAUAACAGCUAUUUCUGUAAUUCCAUCACUCCUGUGUUGAGAUGGAUGGUAGAGACAGGAGAAUUCUUUGAAGCCCAUGGGCUGGCUGGCUGGCUUCAUGUAUGCAGCACUGAAUAUGAGGGACUUUGCCUUGAACAUGGUGGGAGGUGAGGACUGAGAGCUAACAUUGUCCUUUGACAUCUACAUCAGUGACAAGACACAACAGCACACCAUAAAAAAAACAAAACAGAUGGAUCUGGAGAGAUGGCUCAGUGGUUAGAAGCACCACUGACCUUGCAGGAGACUCAAGUUUGGCUCUCAGCUCACAAUUGCCUGUAACUCCAGGGGCUCAGAUGCCCUCUUCUGGUUCUCUGGACACCUGCAAUGUGCCCCUAGUGCAUGUGCCCGUGCUCACACACACACACACACACACACACACACACACCCCAGUUAGUUUUAAAAUGCCUCAGCUAGCUCAAAGGCUGGGCAGUUCUAAUCCUCCCCUUGGCUAGUACACGUUUUCCUCCUAUAAUCCUGGCUUAACGCCCUCUAGUUCUAUAUUUUAUUUUUGUUGCCCUGGUUCCUUCUGGGUGGCUCCCUAGUCUUUGCUGCACAAGAUGCUUCUGGAUAGCCUUUCCAGGGGUCCAUAUUCCUUCUCACCUACAUUUCGGGUAAUUUUUCCUUCUGCAGCUCUAAAUCCGAUCCAUCUCCCUCUGAAUUAUGGCAAUUCUCUGUUUUCCCUUCUCUCAGUUGCUAGCCCAUGCAAAUGUAAAGGUCCUGCUUCAGUCUGUCUUCCCAACCAUUGGCCAUUGUCUCUUUAUUGACCAAUCAAAAACCAGUUGGGGACAAGAACCUUCAGCAUUUGGACACGCAGAUUCCCGAUCUUGAGGGCUGGAUUAAUUGGAAGCCUUGGAACCAAUCCCCAGCAUCAUCUUUUCUGUCCAAAUUUUAAAAAAGGCUCUUCUGUCAGACAUAAAUUGAGCAUAACCAUAACAGUUAUGUAAAUUACAAAGUACGAUAUGCAAUUAACAUCCAGUCUGUCAUAUUUGGCAAUUUAGAUAAAGUAUUCUAUUAUCUAUCUUAGCUUAAUGAGUUACAAUUCUGUACCUAAAUCAUGUUUGAUUUCAACUUGUAUUACCAUCUGAAAACCGUCUUUUGAAUCUAGAACACCUUUAAUGCUAAACAGCUUACGUUCAAUUGUGAGAUUAUAAUUAGUGUUCAAUCUCAUCAGUCAGAGAUUUGAUAAGGAAUUAAAUAUUACCUGAGUAUGUAGGAAGAACAAAGACACAGCUUGCAAAACCUUUCCUUCCCUGUUCAAAACUAUACCAUCCCCAAAUUAUCCCUUAAAAUGACAACCUAUCUAUAAUUUGUAAAAUAAUCUUAACCAGACACCCAAACCCAAGGAAUCAGUCUGAUGACUCUCCAUGGCUUCUUCCUGCUGAAUAGGGAUGAUAAGAAAUUCUUUAAAGGGGUGGGGAGGAGAAGAAAGACUAGAAAAAUUGCUAGGCUUUAGACAGGUAGAUUUAGCAUCUGUUAUCCAUUUUCUGUAUACUUAGAAGGUUCAGGGCUUAACUGAGGUUCUGACUGGGUCUGUCUGAAAGGCCGAAUGAACCAAAUCCAUAGGGAAUCAGUAGCAUCCCUGAGGCUGUUCUAGAAGCGAGUCUCUGGACAGCACCAGGAAGCAGGGGACUGGAGAAGCUGGUCAGUUCAGUGUCCCAGCAGAUGAAUCUUGUCAGAGUUGUACAAUCUGCAAUGUAUGAAUCACAAGCAGAAUUUUUGUACUAUUAAGAUAUUCGUAUCGAUUGUGCAGGGUGCACAAAUCAGUUAAGGAUGAAAUCUGUUCCUUGUUUGAGCAGGUAAAAGACAAUUGUCUUUUUUAUGAAUUAUUUUUAACAAUAACCAAUUGUGUGAUAAAUCUCCAUUCAUGCUAUAUGAAGGAGGGCAUGAAGAAUCUUAAGGAUUCCAUAACCAACAAGAUUUACUGUCUAAUUUUAGCUGAAGUUUUAGUUAGAGACAUUUUUAUGUCUAAGUCAGUUACUGGGCUCUUCCCAUGUUGAGGAAUCAUCAGAUCAAGUUACCUGUCCUGUUUAAUUUUCUUGAAUUUUUCUUUACUGUAGUCAAGAUCCUCAGAGGGUCUUUCCUGUCCUACCUGAUCCACAUCACUGUGGAAGGAGUCCAAGCCUCUUCUCCUUUCCUGUCAGCACAAAUGCAGAGCCUUUCUCCCAGUAGCUGGAAAGCAUUAAAGGUACAGCUUGACCUCUCUCCCAGAGGAAUUAUAACUGCCAAACUCAUAACCACACGAAUUUUGAUAAUUAAAGCAAUUCAAAGCAGUUAAAGCAAUCUAAACAAACAUUAACCAUUGAGACAGUGCUUCUUCACCAUCUCCUGCUUUUUGACCUAUACUUUAAGAUCAGUAUUUUACACAUCUAUGUAUACUCAAAUCUUGCCCACUAUGGAAAGGAGCUCUGUGAGCACUUAUGAUAGUAUGCCACGUUCUCUUUCUCUAAUUCUCAAGGCCUAAGUUUCUAUCCUCUGAGAUAGGUUAGACUCCCUAUCCCUUGCUUUUUAAUCUCAUUUUUAAGGAUAGGAACCUCAGUAUUGUCUAUGUCUACUUACUGUAUACGUCUAUUUCCAGGCUCAAUUUUGUCAUACCAGGCUAAACAUUCACAGAAAUCUCAUGUGGACUAUGUUCAAAGAUUUUGAUUUUGCCCUGGCAAGACUUUUAAAUUUCUUAAAAGGAAUUUUUUUUUUUAAAUUCAGUCUCCCUAACUUCUUUCCUCUUAAGAACAUUUAAGCAAUUACCAUUAUAGUCUCUUCUAUCCUUAAAAGGAAUUAAAUAAAAAUUUAUAAAAAUAUAUUUAUCUGG
ensembl:processed_transcript